rnacentral:lncRNA from 10 species
AAGUCGUCGUAGGUGAGGCAGUCGGCGCUGGCAAAGAGCUGCUGCGCGGGGAGCCAGUUAUCGGGCACAUAGUCGGUGCCGCCCCUGAUCAGCCAUGUGAAGACCAUGAUUGCUUUCCCUUCAGCCUUCCACCUUUGUAAGUUUCCUGAGGCCUCCCCAGAAGCAGAAUCCUGCAUAGUCUGCAGAACUGAUUUUAGAAUGCCAAGCUGACAUUUUGAGUUUUUAUGAGAAACCAGAAAAUUUGGUGUGAAGACCCUAAGUGGUGUGUCUGACUUACAGCAGGCCCACAGUACCUGUUAUUGAGUGAGAUAAGCAAAUGGUAUUUCAGGACCAAAACAUCUGUUUCCUGAAGAGUUGCUCCUUUAAUUGUGUAUCUACCUACCUGUCUAUGUAACUCUUGGCAAAUACAUUGGAGACUUCUCAACUUUCUGCUUCUGAUGAUCUCAACUUGUGGUAUGGCAAAAGGAGAGCAAAAUGUUCACCCAGGGGUCUGAGUUUGGUUCAAGAGAGGAACUACAGCUGUUGGUGACUACAACCAUCUGCCCAGAUGACAUCGUGAUCAACUCCUCUGAAUCACUCUAAAGGAACGAGAAGUCCUGGCAGCUGAGUCAUGAUCCCCCAGGAGCCAUUAAGAAGUUAAUCUUCAGUCACUUCCAUCCAAACAGAAGAAAACCCAUGAAGGAUGAGAACUAUGGGUCCUGAGAAUGACAGGUAUUGAAGACAGGAUUUAUCUUCUCUACUUCUUCUUUUAGAAGCAGAUCAAGAAACUGGCGAUUGAAGAGUAACUGAAAGAAACGCAAUCUGAUCUUACUAGCAGUGAAAGAGCGAG